rnacentral:rRNA from 1 species
UACGAAGGGGGCUAGCGUUGUUCGGAAUUACUGGGCGUAAAGCGUGCGCAGGCGGCUUCUCAAGUCAGGGGUGAAAGCCCAGAGCUCAACUCUGGAAUUGCCUUUGAGACUGAGUGGCUUGAGUACGAGAGAGGUGAGUGGAAUUCCCAGUGUAGAGGUGAAAUUCGUAGAUAUUGGGAGGAACACCAGUGGCGAAGGCGGCUCACUGGACCGGUUCUGACGCUGAAGCGCGAAAGCGUGGGGAGCAAACGGG